rnacentral:rRNA from 1 species
CCCUUAGAUGUCCGGGGCCGCACGCGCGCUACACUGAAGGAAUCAGCGUGGCUUUCUCCCUGACCCGAAAGGGUUGGGAAACCCGUUGAAUCUCCUUCGUGAUAGGGAUUGGGGCUUGAAAUUGUUCCCCAUGAACGAGGAAUUCCCAGUAAGCGCGAGUCAUAAGCUCGCGUUGAUUACGUCCCUGCCCUUUGUACACACCGCCCGUCGCUACUACCGAUUGAACGGUUUAGUGAGGGCCUCGGAUUGGUCUCGGCCCGCUCUUUACCGGCCGGCGCCGUUGGUCGAGAAGACGCUCGAACUUGAUCGUUUAGAGGAAGUAAAAGUCGUAACA